rnacentral:rRNA from 1 species
AACGAACGCUGGCGGCAUGCCUAACACAUGCAAGUCGAACGAGACCUUCGGGUCUAGUGGCGCACGGGUGCGUAACGCGUGGGAACCUGCCCUUAGGUUCGGAAUAACUCCCCGAAAGGGGUGCUAAUACCGGAUAAUGUCUUCGGACCAAAGAUUUAUCGCCUUUGGAUGGGCCCGCGUUGGAUUAGCUAGUUGGUAGGGUAAAAGCCUACAAAGGCGGCGAUCCAUAGCUGGUCUGAGAGGAUGAUCAUCCACACUGGGACUGGGACACGGCCCAGACUGGAGGGGGAGGGGGGGGAGGGGAAAAUAGGGGAGGGGGAAAAAGCCAGAAACGGAAAGGCCGGGGUGAGGGAAAAGGGGUUGGGAUUUGAAAGCGCCUUUAACGGGGAGGAAAAGAAAGUAACGGGGAAAAAAGCACCGGCUAAACACGUG